CCUACGGGAGGCAGCAGUGAGGAAUAUUGGUCAAUGGACGAGAGUCUGAACCAGCCAAGUAGCGUGAAGGAUGACUGCCCUAUGGGUUGUAAACUUCUUUUAUAUGGGAAUAAAAUGUUCCACGUGUGGGAUUUUGUAUGUACCAUAUGAAUAAGGAACGGCUAACUCCGUUCCAGCAGCCGCGGUAAUACGGAGGAUUCGAGCGUUAUCCGGAUUUAGUGGGUUUAAAGGGAGCGUAGGUGGAGUGUUAAGUCAGUUGUGAAAGUUUGCGGCUCAACCGUAAAAUUGCAGUUGAAACUGGCAGUCUUGAGUACAGUAGAGGUGGGCGGAAUUCGUGGUGUAGCGGUGAAAUGCUUAGAUAUCACGAAGAACUCCGAUUGCGAAGGCAGCUCACUGGACUGCAACUGACACUGAGGCUCGAAAGUGUGGGUAUCAAACAGGAUUAGAUACCCGAGUAGUC
rnacentral:rRNA from 1 species